UUAAUUUUUUGUCUGAUUUCUUAACACUUCAGCUUGUGCUGUAUAAAAAUGACUUUUUCUCAUAAUAAUAAGUCAUAAUCAUUUGUCUUCUCAUAGCUAAUAAUUCAUAUUACUUUCUUUUUAUGUUAUAGGAUAAGAGAAACAACCCCUUCAUGUAUUUUAGUUUAGUUUAGUUUUUUUUCUUUUCCUACCUGGUUCAGUAUAUUUAUCUCUUCAACUCUCUACAAGUUCACUACUAAAGGGGGUUCUUCAGGGGAGUGGGGCAGCCCAGAGUUUCAACAAACACUAACAUAGUCAUAUAAAAAAAUAGAGAGAGCAAUUUUGUAGAAUAGCAGCCCAGAGUUUCAGUAAACACUAACUAGUCAUAUAGGAAAAAAAUAUGAAGAUCAGAGUAACACAGACAUAUAAUUGAUGCUUAAUAAUGUUCUUGGAUGAAUUGCUAAUAUAUUUCUCCAUGUAACCAGUGUAGACCUUCUAGAAGAGGGGUAAUCAACCAAAUGCAGUCUCCACCUGCUUUUGUAAUUGAAGUUUUAUGAGAGUACAGUCACACUUUUUUACUUACAUACUGUCUACUUUCAUGCUAGAGUAGCAGAGUUGAGUCACUGUGACAGAGACUGUAUAUCUUACAAACCUAAAAUGUUUACUCUCUGGCCUCUGACAGAUAAAGAAAGCUUCCUCAUGACUGGUCUAGAAGUAUGUUUUCUUCAACAUUGCUGGAUAAACUCUGAAAAGGGCUUAAUCAUUAAUUGCCAUUUAUCUAGAAUUUUUUUAAAGUAUUAUACCAUUACUUUUGGUCUAUCAAGUUACCACAAAGAUUAUUAUAUUAUAGCCAUAUUUGGUUGCAGGCUUGAGGAUAGGGCUCUGGUUACCCUAAUAGGAGUUGGCUGUUUUCUGAAUUGUGUCAACACCACAUUUACAAGUCAUCAUUUUUUUUUUUUUCAUAUCUUAGGAACAUCAGUAGAAACUGGGAUGGAAAAGUCCCAUUAUAACUGGCUAAAUGAGAAUCAUCUAACUGAAUGUCAAAUUAGAGGAGUAAAAUAUUUUUUUCUUGAGAUUUGUAAAACAGGUUAUAUGGAAGUAGAAGGCAUGAAAAUAUUUUCCUCAUUUCUAUUCUGUAAGCAACCCAGUACUAAAAUUUUGGUCCCGAGGUUUACACAGCACUGGGCCUUUGUUCAGUCAAGUUUUAAGUAGAGUAAAUUGAGCACUAUCCAUUUUCUACUCACAGCUACUAGAGAUUAUUCUAAUUUCUUGUGUGGUUAAUAACACAUUAUUUUACCCAGACGAUGUCUUCAAAAAUAUGCACUGGAUCAAUGUCCUAGUAAAUAGAACCUGGCUUUUUAAAAGCUUUACAGGAUUUAUUUCAUAUUAAAGGCAUUGGGCCUCUGCAAGUAUAGAUAGAGUACAAUUAUAUCAAUGCUCAGAAGAGAGAGAGGUUGUAUCCAGCUGGGGUUGGUAAAAAAAAAUUUGUCCAAUGAAGUAAGGAAAGUAUAGAAGGUAAAGUGAUGUCAUUAACAGAGACAGGCACACAUAAUAUGAUUUAAAGGAACAAGGCAAUUGCAGCCUGGCUGAAGCAGUUUGCUUAUGCAGGGUAGAGUGAUUACACACAAAAGUGAGCAGGUAGGUUAGGUAUAUAGCUUUAGAAUUUAAACAUCUUAGAUAACUUACCAUAUUACUAAGAAAGCACAAGAAGUUUAAGCAGAGGAAUAAAAAGGAAAAGACACCAGGUAUGGAAAAGCUGAGUUAGGAGACCCUGUGAGUUAUGCCUUCUAAAGAGGACCAGCAGACAGUGACAGGAAAGAAUGAUACAAGGGAUACAAGGAGCCUUGAGACAUACAUUGACUAGGUCACAGGGAAGAAAGUGAAGCAAAACUAUCAUGGGCUUCAUACCUCAGAACAUAUGUUCUUGUCAUUAACAGAAAAUAGGAAAUUACGAACAUGAUGGAGGAAAUAGGAUUAACUCAUUUUUUCUAACAGAGGAGGUCAUGAGCUCAAGAGAGAGGUCAGGGCUGCGAGGUAGAUUUGGGAGUCCCCAUUAUAAAGGAAGAGAUAGUCAAGUAUCUUAUUACAGCGAGAUUAAGGAGAUGCAGUCCAGUAAAAGACCUUAGGAUUUAGCAAUCAGGAGAUCAUUUACUACCUUUGAAAAUGAAAACCAGGUUGCCACAGCUUAAAGUUGAGUCACCCAGUCUUGGGGCUCAGAUGUACAAUUGGUCACAAAGGUAGUAUUGGAGAGAUUUCAAAAAGCCUAACAGAAGUCUUACAUAGAGCUAAACAAACAAAAGUGUGUGUUUCUUUUUUCCUCAAGUCAUACCACUCCAUUGUUGGUUUUUUUGCAGACUAGAAGUUCUGGUGUGCAUUAAAGAUGGAUUUGAUUAAUUUAAAAUGGGAAAGUACAUUAUUCCUUAUUUUUAACCUCUUCAACCUUAUGAAAGCAUUCAUUUCAGUGUUCCUGGGAACACACUUUGACAAAUGUGUGAGAUAAUGUUGUGAGGUUGCCUAGUAGCAGGCUCUGUGAUAGGCAAAAUCAGGCUUUUAGUUGCGAGACGUCCAAAUAAGUGGAACACUAAUAGGCUACAGAGUGUUUCCAUGUACAUUGCCUUGGCUAGUCUUCUCACCACUCAUUAUAACAUCUCCCAACUACCUCUAAUUCAGAAAAUAAUUAGGCAGUCUCCUUUUAAAUUUGCAUAGUGCUAGCCAUUAAGAGUUACUUUAGGAUUGAUUUGGAAGAAUUUGGCACUUUCUUUUCUUCAGCUUCUAUUAAGAAAAUGUAAAUCUUGCUUUAAAAAAAAAAUCCAUUAAUAAAAUCACCUUAGAAAGUGUUUGUGCCAUGUCUAUGGGUUUUUUUUUUUUUUUUUUUUAAUGUGAUUGUGUCACAUCUGUGACAGUUUAAUUCAGUUACCCAAAGAGUAAUGAUGCAAACAUGCAUAAUAAAUAUUUGAGGCUUGAAGUGGAUUUUGACACAGAAUAUUUCUGACUCUUAUAUUUCAUUAUGUACAUUUCAAUGAAUUGAUUAUUGUAAUCUGAGUAUCAUUAACUAAAAUAUGAAAAGCUCAUUGCUAAAAACACCUGGAGUAUUUGUCAGUGUGUCAGUGUCCUGUGCCGCUUGAGAGCUUAGAACCUAGACUCCUAUCUGUGAAUUGUGCAUGUAGUUCAUGUUUUUUAAGGGUAUUGAUGUGUGUUUAGAAAAUUCUCUUGAAGUAAACAAAAAUCAUCAGCAACAUUAACCUGCAAGGUUAAUUGAACACUUAUUUAAGGGAGCCAUUCUCUUUGCACUCUGUACUAGAAAGUAGCUAGAAAUUUAAAAAACAUUUUAAAAGAUAAGAGACAGAAAAACAGACACCAACAGAGAAGUAGGGAGGAAGAGUUUCACACACACACAC